rnacentral:rRNA from 1 species
GGGGUGCAGCAGGCGCGAAAACUUUGCAAUGCGGGAAACCGUGACAAGGGAACUCUGAGUGCCCGUUAAAUCGGGCUGUCCAUCGGUUUAAAUAACCGGUGAAGAAAGGGCUGGGCAAGACCGGUGCCAGCCGCCGCGGUAAUACCGGCGGCUCGAGUGGUGGCCACUAUUACUGGGCUUAAAGCGUUCGUAGCUGGUUUGUUAAGUCUCUGGGGAAAUCUUCCGGCUUAACCGGAAGGCGUCUCAGGGAUACUGGCAGACUAGGGACCGGGAGAGGUGAGAGGUACUCCAGGGGUAGGAGUGAAAUCCUGUAAUCCUUGGGGGACCACCUGUGGCGAAGGCGUCUCACCAGAACGGCUCCGACAGUGAGGGACGAAAGCUGGGGGAGCAAACCGGAUUAGAUACCCGGGUAGUCCCAGCUGUAAACGAUGCGCGUUAGGUGUAUCGGUGACCACGAGUCACCGAGGUGCCGAAGAGAAAUCGUGAAACGUGCCGCCUGGGAAGUACGGUCGCAAGGCUGAAACUUAAAGGAAUUGGCGGGGG